UACGGAGGGUGCGAGCGUUGUCCGGAAUCAUUGGGCGUAAAGGGCGCGUAGGUGGCCCGGUCAGUUCGUGGUGAAAGCGCGGGGCUCAACCCUGCGUCGGCCAUGAAUACUGCCGCGGCUGGAGCACUGUAGAGGCCAGGCGGAAUUCCCGGGGUGUAGCGGUGGAAUGCGUAGAGAUCCGGAAGAACACCGGUGGCGAAGGCGGCCUGCUGGGCCAGUGGCUGACGCUGAGGCGCGACAGCGUGGGGCAG
rnacentral:rRNA from 1 species